rnacentral:rRNA from 1 species
AACGAACGCUGGCGGCAUGCCUAACACAUGCAAGUCGAACGAGACCUUCGGGGCUAGUGGCGCACGGGUGCGUAACGCGUGGGAACCUGCCCUUAGGUUCGGAAUAACUCCCCGAAAGGGGUGCUAAUACCGGCUAAUGUCUUCGGACCAAAGAUUUAUCGCCAUUGGAUGGGCCCGCGUUGGAUUAGCUAGUUGGUAGGGUAAAAGCCUACCAAGGCGACGAUCCAUAGCUGGUCUGAGAGGAUGAUCAGCCACACUGGGACUGAGACACGGCCCAGACUCCUACGGGAGGCAGCAGUGGGGAAUAUUGGACAGUGGGCGAAAGCCUGAUCCAGCAAUGCCGCGUGAGUGAUGAAGGCCUUAGGGUUGUAAAGCUCUUUUACCCGGGAUGAUAAUGACAGUACCGGGAGAAUAAGCUCCGGCUAACUCCGUG